GAUGAACGCUGGCGGCGUGCCUAAUACAUGCCAGUCGAGCGAACAGACGAGGAGCUUGCUCCUCUGACGUUAGCGGCGGACGGGUGAGUAACACGUGGAUAACCUACCUAUAAGACUGGGAUAACUUCGGGAAACCGGAGCUAAUACCGGAUAAUAUAUUGAACCGCAUGGUUCAAUAGUGAAAGACGGUUUUGCUGUCACUUAUAGAUGGAUCCGCGCCGCAUUAGCUAGUUGGUAAGGUAACGGCUUACCAAGGCAACGAUGCGUAGCCGACCUGAGAGGGUGUUCGGCCACACUGGAACUGAGACACGGUCCAGACUCCUACGGGAGGCAGCAGUAGGGAAUCUUCCGCAAUGGGCGAAAGCCUGACGGAGCAACGCCGCGUGAGUGAUGAAGGUCUUCGGAUCGUAAAACUCUGUUAUUAGGGAAGAACAAAUGUGUAAGUAACUAUGCACGUCUUGACGGUACCUAAUCAGAAAGCCACGGCUAACUACGUG
rnacentral:rRNA from 1 species